AUGAACGCUAGCUACAGGCUUAACACAUGCAAGUCGAGGGGCAGCAUGGUCUUAGCUUGCUAAGGCCGAUGGCGACCGGCGCACGGGUGAGUAACACGUAUCCAACCUGCCGUCUACUCUUGGACAGCCUUCUGAAAGGAAGAUUAAUACAAGAUGGCAUCAUGAGUCCGCAUGUUCACAUGAUUAAAGGUAUUCCGGUAGACGAUGGGGAUGCGUUCCAUUAGAUAGUAGGCGGGGUAACGGCCCACCUAGUCUUCGAUGGAUAGGGGUUCUGAGAGGAAGGUCCCCCACAUUGGAACUGAGACACGGUCCAAACUCCUACGGGAGGCAGCAGUGAGGAAUAUUGGUCAAUGGGCGAGAGCCUGAACCAGCCAAGUAGCGUGAAGGAUGACUGCCCUAUGGGUUGUAAACUUCUUUUAUAAAGGAAUAAAGUCGGGUAUGCAUACCCGUUUGCAUGUACUUUAUGAAUAAGGAUCGGCUAACUCCGUGCCAGCAGCCGCGGUAAUACGGAGGAUCCGAGCGUUAUCCGGAUUUAUUGGGUUUAAAGGGAGCGUAGAUGGAUGUUUAAGUCAGUUGUGAAAGUUUGCGGCUCAACCGUAAAAUUGCAGUUGAUACUGGAUAUCUUGAGUGCAGUUGAGGCAGGCGGAAUUCGUGGUGUAGCGGUGAAAUGCUUAGAUAUCACGAAGAACUCCGAUUGCGAAGGCAGCCUGCUAAGCUGCAACUGACAUUGAGGCUCGAAAGUGUGGGUAUCAAACAGGAUUAGAUACCCUGGUAGUCCACACGGUAAACGAUGAAUACUCGCUGUUUGCGAUAUACUGCAAGCGGCCAAGCGAAAGCGUUAAGUAUUCCACCUGGGGAGUACGCCGGCAACGGUGAAACUCAAAGGAAUUGACGGGGGCCCGCACAAGCGGAGGAACAUGUGGUUUAAUUCGAUGAUACGCGAGGAACCUUACCCGGGCUUAAAUUGCAGAUGAAUUACGGUGAAAGCCGUAAGCCGCAAGGCAUCUGUGAAGGUGCUGCAUGGUUGUCGUCAGCUCGUGUCGUGAGAUGUUGGGUUAAGUCCCGCAACGAGCGCAACCCCUAUCUUUAGUAGCCAGCGGUCAGGCCGGGCACUCUAGAGAGACUGCCAGGGAUAACCUGGAGGAAGGUGGGGAUGACGUCAAAUCAGCACGGCCCUUACGUCCGGGGCUACACACGUGUUACAAUGGGGGGUACAGAAGGCAGCUACACGGCGACGUGAUGCUAAUCCCGAAAGCCUCUCUCAGUUCGGAUUGGAGUCUGCAACCCGACUCCAUGAAGCUGGAUUCGCUAGUAAUCGCGCAUCAGCCAUGGCGCGGUGAAUACGUUCCCGGGCCUUGUACACACCGCCCGUCACACCAUGAGAGUUGGGAAUACCCGAAGCCUGUGAGCUAACUGUAAAGAGGCAGCAGUCGAAGGUAGAAUCAAUGAUUGGGGUG
rnacentral:rRNA from 1 species